UUAAGCCUCUUGUAAACAAUUGUAAACUCUUUAAGGGAGUAAGGGGGAUUUCCCCUCUCCACUUCAUGAAUCAUAAACUUGUUCUUGAAUCUAAAACCCUAAUCUCUAAUCUCUUACUCUCCUAAUCUCUCAGUCUCUUAAUCUCUGUUCCUAAGUCUCUUAUUCUCUCAUAAACACUCUUGGACAAUCUCUCUUUCUAAAUCACCUAGAGCAAGCUCUCAUCUUUCUCCAUUGGAGUUUAUACACACACACAUACACCAGAGAAGAGAACUCUACAAAUCUCAUAUGGUAUCAGAGCCAGGUUCAUCAGAACCUGAGCUAAAGAUUCCGCAAGUCCACAGCUCAUGCUUCAGCUCAAAACCAAACCAUUGAGGCUUUCCCAUCCGGUUCAGUCCCUUGUGAAGAAGAAGGCUGAAGCUUGGCGAUUUCCCUUGGUUCCUCAUCAUGUUCUCUACUUGCUCAGAUGGAGAUUAUCCUUGGAGGCAAAAGUGUAUGGAGAGGCCUAACUAACUUGACUCCAAAGCUUCUUGUCCAAGAGAAGUUUCACAUCCGGCUACAAGAGUAUGGUGUCAAGAGUUUGGCGCCCAGAUUUUAUGAAGAAAGGAGGGGUCUUUUGAGUUGAUGGUACAAGAUGGUGGCCAUGAACUGAAGGAGAAGGAGGUGGGUGAUGAUCCAGACUCUCAGAUCCAACAAAAGUCAUGGCCGGUUUCACAAAAUGCAAAAGGAAUCAACCUGGUUCCUUGUUGUUCACAAGAAGUGUUCUUUGCUCACCACCUAUCCAAGACAAGAGAAAGACUUGAACCAUUGUGUGGAGCAAUGGGAAGAUACUUGUGUGUAGAAGCUAGUUUAAGAAGCGCAGGCCACGAGGUUGUUGAGCUCCUGGUUCAAGACAUACAAGCGGAAGACUUGACCAUUGUGUGGAGCAAUGGGAAGGUUCUUGUGUGUAGAAGCCGGUUUAAGAAGCGCAGGCCACGAGGUUGUUGAGCUCCUGGUUCAAGACACAUAAGAAGAAGAAGGUCACCACCUAAGCCAUGAGGAAGGCCGGUGAUCUGAGGGUACUUGAAGCUGAAGGCAAAAGGGUGGAUCAGUGAUUUAAGCGCAGCUGUUAGGGUGAUGUGCUCCUGGUCUUGAAGUUCAUAGAGGCUCAUUUCAAGCUUGGAUCUCCCCUAUACUCGGUCUCAAGCUUGCGGUGGGGAUUCAAAUGAGCAACCUGAAGAGCCAAAGUUCAAGACCUGUUUCCUCCUUAUCAUUACAAGGGAAUGAUAAGAUGAAGCAUGUUGCCAACAUUCUGUGGGAAGUCCACAGCCUGCUCCAAAGAGGGUAGAGAGGAUGUUGUGGCAAUGGUGGUUUAAGUGGGGCUAGAACAGUUACCUUCUGGUUGGGAAGCUAUGGAUCAGCUACUAUAUAGAGUUAGAGCAGUUACCUUCAGUUGGAACAAUACCUUCUGGUUGGAAAGCUAUGGAUCAGCUACUAUAUGGAGUUAGAACAGAUACCUUCAGUUGGGAAGCUUUGAAUCAGCUCAUAGCUACUCAAGACCAUUGCAAGCUGAUCAUGGAGUGAUCCAGCCGAAGUAGAGGGAAGAACAAAGCUACUCAAUAAGCUUCUGGUGUGAGAUGCUUGGAGAGUGAGGUGAGGUAUCUCCUCAGUGCAAUGCGUGGAGAGUGAGCUGAGGUAUCUCCUCAGUGCAAUGGUGGUUAAGUGGAGCUGUAAGCAUCAAGUCUGAAGAAGAUGGAGGUGUUCCCACAAGAGUGAUCAUGGAUCUUAGUAUGCGCUCACCUUCAAGCUUGGAUCUUCCCUAUACUCGGUCUCAAGCUUGAGGGGGAGCGUUGGUGAGCUUUCAUGGUAAGAGAGCAGCCACUCCUCACCAAAGCAAAAUGGAGCUAGGCAUGUCUUACCUGAUGGAGAUGGCAAGAAGCCACGAGAGAAGGGAAGACUCAGGCCGGUCCAAAGGAGAGUUCCAAGAAGAGUUGGUGUUGCCAUGAGGAUGGUGAAAUAACAUAGUAUGAGGAAUUCAAGUGACGAGCCAAUCUAGUCACUCCUCACCAAAACAAAAGGGAAGUUUCCCCGUACUCAAUUUCAAUUCAUCAUUUUCAAUCAUAUCUAGUAAUUCGUUAGGAAUACUAGUUUUCCUAGACGGCAACAUAUCUAGUAAUCUAUGAGGAAUACUAGUCUUACUAAGACGGUCUAUAAGCAUGAAUUGAUUGAGUUAUGUUACUUGAUAAGUACUGAUACACUUGUGGAAUGAUGUAUCAGGUACCUUACUUGGAGACUCAAUGGAGAGGAUCAGGUCGUUCCUAGCCUUUCAAGAUGGCAUGAAGUCAUAUGAAAGGGGGAGACACUAAGCCGGUUCUAUAGAAGAGUCCAAGAAAGUGUGGUGAAGUGUGCGCAAGCCUUGAAGUGUUGCUGCACCUGUUUAGGCCGUGAUCCAGAGCUUCUUAUGUCCAACCACACUGGUUCUAAGGCACAAGAGCUCACUGGCCAAUCCCUAGGCCUUGGAGAUCUCUACUCUUUUUCCCUUGCAAGGUUUUGUCCCAAUGGGUUUUCCUUGUAAGGUUUUUAAUGAGGGAGACUCUUCAGGGUUCCAAGCUUGACUUAGGAUCUCCUAAAGUCAAGCUUGAGGGAGAGUGUUGAACUGAAGAGAAGAUGGAGCUUGUUUAUAAAUAGGGCAAGCUCCAGAAGAUCUCCAGAAGAGUUCUAUUAAGCUUCGGAAGUGUUUAGAAGCUGAUGCAAAGAAGAGACAAGAUCUAAGAAGUGUCUUGAUGGUGUUUACAAGACAUUGGAAGAGUUUGGAAGAUUAUGGUCGAUGGUGCAAAGUUAGGGAUCGACCUGUACGGACGGACGUACGAACGGUACAGACCGUACGGACAUGAUCGACCCGAAACUUAUCAUUUCGGCCAUUUGAGCACAUUUGAGGAAUGUGCAAUCUUAGGGCACAAGGUAUACGGUCCUGACAUUCGUACAGCCAAGUCUGAUCAUGUCUUGGGAGACAAGGCAAGGAGAAGGGCGUGUGAGACUAUCCAAGGGAGAAAGAUCCAUUUGGCAUAUUCAAAGAUGCCUUAGGAAGCAACCAGGAAGGUGCCUUUCUCUCCAGCUCACACAGACCAAUCACAGCCAAGUAUUCAGUCCACAAGACAGCUCAUAACAGCCUGUAAAGGCCAGACACACCAAAGACUCCCAUUGGCCAAGCAUGUGAUGAUUCUGGUCCAUAGAAUUCAAAAUGGGUGCUCCCCUUUAUGUUGACUUCACAUGCUUAGGUUAUCUGAUGUAUCCAGCCUCCAUUUAUGUAUUUAAGCCUCUUGUAAACAAUUGUAAACUCUUUAAGGGAGUAAGGGAGAUUUCCCCUCUCCACUUCAUGAAUCAUAAACUUGUUCUUGAAUCUAAAA